rnacentral:tRNA from 1 species
GCCCCUGUAGCUCAGCUGGACAGAGCGGCUGCCUUCUAAGCAGCGGGUCGUAGGUUCGAGUCCUACCGGGGGCG